GAUAUUAGAAGGUAGAAAAAUGUCAUUAUCUUGGAAAUCUCACUUUAUGAGGUGGCCGAAAAAAGUUUUUAUUUCCCUAUAUUCAUGCUAUAUUGCAUGUUUGUUACAUUGAUAAAUAUGCUAAUAACCUUUCUUGCUUGUUUCCCAUUCAGUUAAGGUAAAAGAUUAAAAAUUUUAUUUUAUUUUUAAAGUAAAUUUAUACAACUUUUGUAAGUUCUAAAUUAAUUUGAAUAUAGUUUGUUUUAACUAUAGUAUCAGUAUAUCUUUAAGAUAUUGUAAUCAGGUUAUAGCUAAUUAAUAUGACACUUCAGCCAAUUAUUUAAAAAAUUCCUGAGGCUGUAAAUAUCCUGUGGGUUAAUUGUUUUCUCUCCCCCAGUGGUUUGGCAAUCUGGUAACAAUGAAGUGGUGGAAUGACCUAUGGCUAAAUGAAGGUUUUGCCACUUUCAUGGAGUAUUUCUCUUUGGAAAAAAUAUUCAAAGAGCUUUCUAGUUAUGAAGAUUUCUUAGAUGCUCGAUUUAAAACCAUGAGGAAAGAUUCCUUAAAUUCAUCUCAUCCAAUAUC
rnacentral:sRNA from 1 species